UGCGCUCGGGGAGGGCAGAGCCUGGUGGGACCUGGGCAGCCAGCGGUGACCUCAGAGUCCUGACGAACAAGGCCUCACCGUCUUCCUGGCUUUCUUGUGGCGGGGCCGCUGAAUACAGCCCUGGCUCCUAAGCAUGUAAUGGAUGUCACUGAGCCAUCGGAUGCUUCCUUUUCCUUCUACAACAUUGGAACGUAGAACAACGCUGUGCCCUUCACUUCGUCCUCCAACCAUCCUAGAAUGCCUCACUGGAAGGGAGUGGACAGUGUGGAACCCAGCCAGCUGGAGCUUGUCCAGUGGGUUGACCAGAUGAAUUAGAGACAAAAGAGUGUGCCUUCACCUAACAGCGGGGCUGUGUGAGGAGUCUUCAGCAUCAACUCUGACUCAGACCAGAAGUCAAACUGGGCCUUGGGAAGCCCCCCAAGAACUUUCACCCCCUGGAUCCUCUUGGUCCUGGUGAGCCAUCGUUGGUCAUCGAAACCCGUAAUUCCCAAAACCACACAAAAAAAGACUGUGCAGGGUAGCUCAAAGCAGGAGCCCCGAUCAAUGGGAAACCAUUCCUUUUUUUUAGGAGGAAAGCCCUGAACUUUGUUUUUACAAUACAAUAACCUAAUAUAUUAGGGAGAAAAGCAGCCAGAAGAUUAUUUAUUGGAAAUAUAGAAAUUAAGCUAGAGAAAGAGGGAGGGCUGUGUAAGUCAAGAGUUGGGGAAGGGCUGAGAGAAGAAAACCAG